rnacentral:tRNA from 1 species
GGUGCUAUGGUGUAGUGGCUAUCACGUCAGUCUUACACAUUGAAGGCCAGUUCGAUCUUGGGCAGUAUCA